GAUUGCUUUGUCAGAUGGAUGAACUGUUUGAGGAACAUAUUAAAGAUGGAUGUUUCAAGAACCCAAUAAAGAUGGAUGAAAUGUUUCAAGAACACAAUUUGUAUGUCUUUGAGAUGAAGGAAUUGUUUCAAGAAGACAAAAAAGGUACAAUUUGUUUUGAAUCGUUUUUGCUUCUACCACCUAUAUGUAAUGUUGAAUGUCUUUUUUUUUUAUCAAUGCAGUUUUUCUUUGAAAUAAAUUAAUUGUUUCAACAAGACAACAAACAUACAAUUUUUACUUCUUCUCUC